AAGGCUCCUCCUGCAGAGCCUCUGGGCCAGGCAGCAGCAGCUCCACCCAGUGCUGUUCCCCACCUCUGCCUGUCCUGCAAGGCAAUGGUGUUGGGAUGAGAAAAGGGACAAAGGGGGUUUCCUUCUUACUAAAACAUUUGUUUCCUGCUACCGGGAAGGCUUCUGUGCUUUUGCCACAGAGGUGCUUGUCUUGGUGUCCCCCUCCAUUUCUGCUGCAGGAUCUGGCUCAAGCUGCAUCCAGACCGCCUGGGAGAGUGGGCAGCCUCAGGGAUUCAUCAAGAGAGGGAAAUGAUUCAGCAUACCUGGAGGGGCUGGGAAACAUGGUGGGGUUGAAGACCAUGGGCCACCUCUGUGUCUCACCAUCUCUGUCCCCCAUGACCAGGUGGAGGGAAACAGGGCGAGGUCUUGUGGGGAGCCAGCAAUGAGGAGCAAAAGGCAGAGAAGAGGAAACCCAACCUGAAGCUGAGGCGACCACAGGGUUGUGCAGCACAGGCCCUAACACUGGGGACAGCAGAUAAGACACC